GUGAACGCUGGCGGUAGGCCUAACACACGCAAGUCGAACGGCAGCACCGUAAGAGCUUGCUCUUACGGGUGGCGAGUGGCGGACGGGUGAGGAAUACAUCGGAAUCUACUUUUUCGUGGGGGAUAACGUAGGGAAACUUACGCUAAUACCGCAUACGACCUACGGGUGAAAGCAGGGGAUCUUCGGACCUUGCGCGAUUGCAUGAGCCGAUGUCGGAUUAGCUAGUUGGCGGGGUAAAGGCCCACCAAGGCGACGAUCCGUAGCUGGUCUGAGAGGAUGAUCAGCCACACUGGAACUGAGACACGGUCCAGACUCCUACGGGAGGCAGCAGUGGGGAAUAUUGGACAAUGGGCGCAAGCCUGAUCCAGCCAUACCGCGUGGGUGAAGAAGGCCUUCGGGUUGUAAAGCCCUUUUGUUGGGAAAGAAAAGCAGCAGGUUAAUACCCCGCUGUUCUGACGGUACCCAAAGAAUAAGCACCGGCUAACUUCGUG
rnacentral:rRNA from 1 species